AGAAAUAUGUCUGACAAAAGAGUUACUUUGAUAGAGUAAAUAAUAGAGGCUUAUUUCUA
rnacentral:tRNA from 1 species